rnacentral:rRNA from 1 species
GAUGAACGCUAGCGGCAGGCUUAAUACAUGCAAGUCGAGGGGUAGCAAGAUUGUAGCAAUACAAUUGUUGACGACCGGCAAACGGGUGCGGAACACGUACAGAACCUUCCUUCGAGCGGGGGAUAGCCCAGAGAAAUUUGGAUUAAUACCCCAUAGUAUAGCGGAGUGGCAUCACUUUGUUAUUAAAGAUUUAUCACUUGAAGAUGGCUGUGCGUCUGAUUAGGUAGUUGGCGGGGUAACGGCCCACCAAGCCUGCGAUCAGUAACUGGUGUGAGAGCACGACCAGUCACACGGGCACUGAGACACGGGCCCGACUCCUACGGGAGGCAGCAGUAAGGAAUAUUGGUCAAUGGACGCAAGUCUGAACCAGCCAUGCCGCGUGAAGGAUGAAGGUCCUCUGGAUUGUAAACUUCUUUUAUCUGGGGCGAAACACCGAUUUUCUAAUCGGCUUGACGGUACCAGAUGAAUAAGCACCGGCUAACUCCGUGCCAGCCGCCGCCGUAAUAC